GACAGAGGGUGCAAACGUUGCUCGGAAUUACUGGGCGUAAAGGGCGCGUAGGCGGCCAUGCGUGUCUUCCGUGAAAUCCCUCGGCUUAACUGAGGACGUGCGGAAGAAACUGCAAGGCUCGAGUCCGGGAGAGGGGGGUGGAAUUCCCAGUGUAGCGGUGAAAUGCGUAGAUAUUGGGAGGAACACCGGUGGCGAAGGCGGCCCCCUGGACCGGUACUGACGCUGAGGCGCGAAAGCGUGGGUAGCAAACGGG
rnacentral:rRNA from 1 species